AGUGGACGCGAGCAUCUUUGUGGCCAAGUUUUUUAGGGCACACGGUGGAUGCCUUGGCAUCAGGAGCCGAUGAAGGACGUGGGAGG
rnacentral:rRNA from 1 species